rnacentral:rRNA from 1 species
UACGUAGGGGGCGAGCGUUGUCCGGAUUUAUUGGGCGUAAAGAGCUCGUAGGCGGUUUGGUAAGUUGGAUGUGAAAUCUCCAGGCUCAACUUGGAGGGGUCAUUCGAUACUGCCAUGACUAGAGUUCGGUAGGGGAGUGUGGAAUUCCUGGUGGAGCGGUGAAAUGCGCAGAUAUCAGGAGGAACACCCGUAGCGAAGGCGGCACUCUGGGCCAACACUGACACUGAGGAGCGAAAGCCAGGGGAGCAAACGGG